GCAAUCUGAUUUGCUUAUUGCACACAUGUGUUUUUCUUUGAAACAAACUUGCUUUGGCGGUGGGCCCAGCCUGCCGCCAGAGGUCUAAACUUACAACCAAUUUUUUAUCAACUUGUCACACCAGAUUAUUACUUAAUAGUCAAAACUUUCAACAACGGAUCUCUUGGUUCUCGCAUCGAUGAAGAACGCAGCGAAAUGCGAUACGUAAUAUGAAUUGCAGAUAUUCGUGAAUCAUCGAAUCUUUGAACGCACAUUGCGCCCUCUGGUAUUCCGGAGGGCAUGCCUGUUUGAGCGUCGUUUCUCCCUCAAACCGCUGGGUUUGGUGUUGAGCAAUACGACUUGGGUUUGCUUGAAAGACGGUAGUGGUAAGGCGGGAUCGCUUUGACAAUGGCUUAGGUCUAACCAAAAACAUUGCUUGCGGCGGUAACGUCUACCACGUAUAUCUUCAAACUUUGACCUCAAAUCAGGUAGGACUACCCGCUGAACUUAAGCAUAUCAAA
rnacentral:rRNA from 1 species